GACGAACGCUGGCGGCGUGCUUAACACAUGCAAGUCGAACGGAAAGGCCCUGCUUUUGUGGGGCGCUCGAGUGGCGAACGGGUGAGUAACACGCGAGUAACCUGCCCUUGACUUUGGGAUAACUUCAGGAAACUGGGGCUAAUACCGGAUAGGAGCUCCUGCUGCAUGGUGGGGGUUGGAAAGUUUCGGCGGUUGGGGAUGGACUCGAGGCUUAUCAGCUUGUUGGUGGGGUAGUGGCUUACCAAGGCUUUGACGGGUAGCCGGCCUGAGAGGGUGACCGGCCACAUUGGGACUGAGGUACGGCCCAGACUCCUACGGGAGGCAGCGGUGGGGAAUAUUGCACAAUGGGCGGAAGCCUGAUGCAGCAGCGCCGCGUGCGGGAUGACGGCCUUCGGGUUGUAAACCGCUUUCGCCUGUGACGAAGCGUGAGUGACGGUAAUGGGUAAAGAAGCACCGGCUAACUACGUG
rnacentral:rRNA from 1 species